rnacentral:rRNA from 1 species
GACGAACCGUGCAAACGUUGUUCGGAAUCACUGGGCUUAAAGGGCGCGUAGGCGGCUUAUCAAGUCGGGGGUGAAAUACUUCAGCUUAACCGGGGAACUGCGUCUGAUACUGGAUGGCUUGAGUUUGGGAGAGGGAUGCGGAAUUCCAGGUGUAGCGGUGAAAUGCGUAGAUAUCUGGAGGAACACCGGUGGCGAAGGCGGCAUCCUGGACCAACACUGACGCUGAGGAGCGAAAGCCAGGGGAGCAAACGGG